AGUGAACGCUGGCGGUAGGCCUAACACAUGCAAGUCGAACGGCAGCACAGUAAGAGCUUGCUCUUACGGGUGGCGAGUGGCGGACGGGUGAGGAAUACAUCGGAAUCUACUUUUUCGUGGGGGAUAACGUGGGGAAACUUACGCUAAUACCGCAUACGACCUACGGGGGAAAGCAGGGGAUCUUCGGACCUUGCGCGAUUGAAUGAGCCGAUGUCGGAUUAGCUAGUUGGCGGGGUAAAGGCCCACCAAGGCGACGAUCCGUAGCUGGUCUGAGAGGAUGAUCAGCCACACUGGAACUGAGACACGGUCCAGACUCCUACGGGAGGCAGCAGUGGGGAAUAUUGGACAAUGGGCGCAAGCCUGAUCCAGCCAUACCGCGUGGGUGAAGAAGGCCUUCGGGUUGUAAAGCCCUUUUGUUGGGAAAGAAAAGCAGCAGGUUAAUACCCCGCUGUUCUGACGGUACCCAAAGAAUAAGCACCGGCUAACUUCGUG
rnacentral:rRNA from 1 species